UACGUAGGCAGCAAGCGUUGUUCGGAAUUACUGGGCGUAAAGAGUGUGUAGGCGGUUUUCUAAGUUCGGUGUGAAAUCUCCCGGCUCAACUGGGAGGGUGCGCCGAAUACUGAGAGGCUAGAGUGUGGGAGAGGAAAGUGGAAUUCCUGGUGUAGCGGUGAAAUGCGUAGAUAUCAGGAGGAACACCGGUGGUGUAAACGGCUUUCUGGACCAUAACUGACGCUGAUGCACGAAAGCGUGGGUAGCAAACAGG
rnacentral:rRNA from 1 species